CUGCGUGCGGCCCGGUCAUGAGGCUGCGCCGCCUGCGUAAAUCGGUAUGGGAAUAGCGCUCCCCUUGCGCAACCUGCGUGCGGCCCGGCAAUGCCGCUACGUCACUUGCGUAACUCAGCACGGGAGUAGCGUAGGCGGCGGGGAGUGGCGCGUUGUGAGGGGACGCGGCGGGCGGGGGCUCCUUCACGGCACCGCCGGGCUCUCAGACAGCUGGGGCGGGGAGCCCGCGGUGAGCGCUGCCCCGGUGCCUUCAGCAGCGCUGAGCUGAUGUCUGGCUGGGCAUCGUGCCUGCACCCUCCUAUGUACGAGACACAAUUUGCACACCAAUGCAAUGGAAGCUGUUGAGGAGGAACCACCUCGGUUUGAUCUUUGUAAACUGCUGGUCUUCAGCCUCCAUAGACAGUUCUGGCAGUGCACUUGAACAAGGCUGCAAAGAUAAUUAAUGCCAGCAGAAGCAGCAGAGCUGGGAACAGUGAGCAGAUGUCCUGAGCCGGCCCGAGGAAGCCCAGGCAGCCACACCAAUACAACCACCAGCACACAGACAAUCUCGCAGCCUGUCAGUCAGCAUCACGUGAGCAGUCCCCCAUCUAUUGCUCCUGGGACCCAGGGGGUGAUUUGGAAAGGAUCUGCUGGGCUGUCACUCACCUCCAUCUGCCUUCAGGAGAAGGAUUCUGGGUUCCAUGCUGUUUCCUCUUGUGCCUGCAUGGCUUUGAUCACAAUUUGCUUCUCAGGCCUUCAGAAUCACAGCUGCCCUGUAAGGUUUGCCCGUAAUCCUGUUGACAUGUUGUUCCCUGGCAAGCUCUGGACUCUAUUUGCUCCCAGUUUGGGAUUAACUGCUAUUUCUGAUGAUUCUGCUAUUGCCAUAGAUGUCCUGUUUCUUACCUGGAUUUAA
rnacentral:lncRNA from 1 species